GCCUACACAUUUUUGGUUAACAAUUUAGCCCAUCCCAGUAUUUCACUCCCCUACCCAGUUUGUACUCUUGUGAAUACAACUUUCAUAAAUUGUGCUGUUUCUCAACCA